CUCUGUAUAAAGGCAUUUAGAAAGAUGAGAGAGAUGGUAUCAAACCACCUUGACCAGUUUACUGUCAUGUGAUCUUGGUGUUUUGUGGGGGUUUGGGACAGGGCUGAUUGGGGUGAUGUGUGGAAUCUAGCUACCUGAUGGUGUGAUGGUAUAACUUAAGCCAGGUUAGGUUUAGGUUCAGAGGUCGGGGUUUAGGUUCAGCGGUCAGGUUCAGAGGUCAAAUCAGAUCAAAGUUCAUUUGUCACAUGCGCCGAAUACAACAGGUGUAGGUAGAUCUUACAGUGAAAUGCUGAAUACAACAGGUGUAGUAGACCUUACAGUGAAAUGCUGAAUACAACAGGUGUAGUAGACCUUACAGUGAAAUGCUGAAUACAACAGGUGUAGUAGACCUUACAGUGAAAUGCUGAAUACAACAGGUGUAUUAGACCUUACAGUGAAAUGCUGAAUACAACAGGUGUAGUAGACCUUACAGUGAAAUGCUGAAUACAACAGGUGUAGUAGACCUUACAGUGAAAUGCUGAAUACAACAGGUGUAGUAGACCUUACAGUGAAAUGCUGAAUACAACAGGUGUAGUAGACCUUACAGUGAAAUGCUGAAUACAACAGGUGUAGUAGACCUUACAGUGAAAUGCUGAAUACAACAGGUGUAGUAGACCUUACAGUGAAAUGCUGAAUACAACAGGUGUAGUAGACCUCACAGUGAAAUGCUGACUACAACAGGUGUAGUAGACCUUACAGUGAAAUGCUGAAUACAACAGGUGUAGUAGACCUUACAGUGAAAUGCUGAAUACAACAGGUGUAGUAGACCAUACAGUGAAAUGCUGAAUACAACAGGUGUAGUAGACCUUACAGUGAAAUGCUGAAUACAACAGGUGUAGUAGACCUCACAGUGAAAUGCUGAAUACAACAGGUGUAGUAGACCUCACAGUGAAAUGCCGAAUACAACAGGUGUAGUAGACCUUACAGUGAAAUGCUGAAUACAACAGGUGUAGUAGACCUUACAGUGAAAUGCUGAAUACAACAGGUGUAGUAGACCUUACAGUGAAAUGCUGAAUACAACAGGUGUAGUAGACCUUACAGUGAAAUGCUGAAUACAACAGGUGUAGUAGACCUCACAGUGAAAUGCUGAAUACAACAGGUGUAGUAGACCUUACAGUGAAAUGCUGAAUACAACAGGUGUAUUAGACCUUACAGUGAAAUGCUGAAUACAACAGGUGUAGUAGACCUUACAGUGAAAUGCUGAAUACAACAGGUGUAGUAGACCUUACAGUGAAAUGCUGAAUACAACAGGUGUAGUAGACCUCACAGUGAAAUGCUGAAUACAACAGGUGUAGUAGACCUCACAGUGAAAUGCUGAAUACAACAGGUGUAGUAGACCUCACAGUGAAAUGCUGAAUACAACAGGUGUAGUAGACCUUACAGUGAAAUGCUGAAUACAACAGGUGUAGUAGACCUCACAGUGAAAUGAUGAAUACAACAGGUGUAGUAGACCUUACAGUGAAAUGCUGAAUACAACAGGUGUAGUAGACCUCACAGUGAAAUGCUGAAUACAACAGGUGUAGUAGACCUUACAGUGAAAUGCUGAAUACAACAGGUGUAGUAGACCUUACAGUGAAAUGCUGAAUACAACAGGUGUAUUAGACCUUACAGUGAAAUGCUGAAUACAACAGGUGUAGUAGACCUUACAGUGAAAUGCUGAAUACAACAGGUGUAGUAGACCUUACAGUGAAAUGCUGAAUACAACAGGUGUAGUAGACCUUACAGUGAAAUGCUGAAUACAACAGGUGUAGUAGACCUCACAGUGAAAUGCUGAAUACAACAGGUGUAGUAGACCUCACAGUGAAAUGCUGAAUACAACAGGUGUAGUAGACCUCACAGUGAAAUGCUGAAUACAACAGGUGUAGUAGACCUUACAGUGAAAUGCUGAAUACAACAGGUGUAGUAGACCUCACAGUGAAAUGCUGAAUACAACAGGUGUAGUAGACCUCACAGUGAAAUGAUGAAUACAACAGGUGUAGUAGACCUCACAGUGAAAUGCUGAAUACAACAGGUGUAGUAGACCUUACAGUGAAAUGCUGAAUAUAACAGGUGUAGUAGACCUUACAGUGAAAUGCUGAAUACAACAGGUGUAGUAGACCUUACAGUGAAAUGCUGAAUACAACAGGUGUAGUAGACCUUACAGUGAAAUGCUGAAUACAACAGGUGUAGUAGACCUCACAGUGAAAUGCUGAAUUUUGAAUCACGCCCAAUUUUUCAGUUUUUGAUUUAUUAAAAAAGUUUGAAAUAUCCAAUAAAUGUCGUUCCACUUCAUGAUUGUGUCCCACUUGUUGUUGAUU